rnacentral:lncRNA from 1 species
UGUUACUUCACCGGCUCAAGCCACCAUGGUCGCUCCAUUCACCGGCUUGAAGUCAUCCGCUGCAUUCCCAGUCACCCGCAAGACCAACACCGACAUUACUUCCAUCGCAAGCAACGGAGGAAGAGUUAGCUGCAUGAAGGUAAUUAAAUGUCACUAUAAGUUCAUAUAUAUAUAUAUACGAAAUCGAAGUAAUAUUAAUUGGAAAUGUUAUUUAUAGGUGUGGCCACCAAUUGGAAAGAAGAAGUUUGAGACUCUCUCUUACCUUCCUGACCUUACCGAAGUUGAAUUGGCUAAGGAAGUUGACUACCUUCUCCGCAACAAGUGGAUUCCCUGUGUUGAAUUCGAGUUGGAGGUAAUAAAAAUCGAAAAUCAUAUACAUAAAUAUUUAGAGUAGCUUGACCAUAUGAAUCUUGCAACGAUCUUAAAACUGUUUAGAGGUCCUAUGCAGAAUCUUGAUUUAUAUGUACAUAUUUGAAAUGUUCUUGAAUGGUUUUUGUAAUGUGUUUUGUAGAACGGGUUUGUGCACCGUGAGCACGGAAGCACUCCCGGAUACUACGAUGGACGUUACUGGACAAUGUGGAAGCUUCCUUUGUUCGGAUGCACUGACUCAGCUCAAGUGUUGAAGGAAGUGCAAGAGUGCAAGAAGGAGUACCCCCAGGCCUUCAUUAGGAUCAUCGGAUUCGACAACACCCGUCAAGUCCAGUGCAUCAGUUUCAUCGCCUACAAGCCACCAAGCUUCACCGAUGCUUAAGUCACUUU